GAUGAACGCUGGCGGCGUGCCUAAUACAUGCGAGUCGAGCGAACAGACGAGGAGCUUGCUCCUCUGACGUUAGCGGCGGACGGGUGAGUAACACGUGGAUAACCUACCUAUAAGACUGGGAUAACUUCGGGAAACCGGAGCUAAUACCGGAUAAUAUAUUGAACCGCAUGGUUCAAUAGUGAAAGACGGUUUUGCUGUCACUUAUAGAUGGAUCCGCGCCGCAUUAGCUAGUUGGUAAGGUAACGGCUUACCAAGGCAACGAUGCGUAGCCGACCUGAGAGGGUGAUCGGCCACACUGGAACUGAGACACGGUCCAGACUCCUACGGGAGGCAGCAGUAGGGAAUCUUCCGCAAUGGGCGAAAGCCUGACGGAGCAACGCCGCGUGAGUGAUGAAGGUCCUCGGAUCGUAAAACUCUGUUAUUAGGGAAGAACAAAUGUGUAAGUAACUAUGCACGUCUUGACGGUACCUAAUCAGAAAGCCACGGCUAACUACGUG
rnacentral:rRNA from 1 species